ensembl:lncRNA
AGAAAAUCUUGCAUAAAACACUGAGGUAGCCAUUCUUCCAAUCGCUUCUUAUGAGAAACCAAUUGCCUCGACGGAUAUAUUAUCGAAUAUAUAUGUUAAAAACACCUUGAGGAUGGAUCCUAAACAACGUUUGCCGUGUUUCUGUCGAUUUUAUGGAGCAAAUUUUGAAAAAAGUUUGGAGUUAUAGUUGUAGCAUUUUCCGGUCGAUUUCUCAGCCAAGCAUGAUGAACAAACGGAAGCUAUUUCACCUACAAAAAUAAUAUUUUUGGAAAAAAGGAACAUUUGCUAUCUAAUUGGGAGUCUUCUGAGUGAAAGCAUCUGAAGUUCUUCAAAGGUACAUCUACAACACCCGAUGUCACAGGAAGGCCAAAAAGAUCCUCAAGGACAUCAACCACCCAAGCCAAGGCCUGUUCACCCACUAUCAUUCUGAAGGCGAGUACGUUGAAACAACCAAUGUGUGCCCAGAGGGAUGCCAAGCACAUUCAAGACCUCUGGAAUCAGGUGUUCACUUGGCAGACCAUUUUAUCCGAGAAAUGUUUCAGGAUCACAACGCAUCAGGUUUGGCACAGAGACUGUAUUCUGAUACAAUACUGGU